rnacentral:rRNA from 1 species
CACGUAGGGACCAAGCGUUGUCCGGAUUCAUUGGGCGUAAAGAGCUCGUAGGCGGUUCAGUAAGUCGGGUGUGAAACCUCCAGGCUCAACCUGGAGACGCCCCCCGAUACUGCUGUGACUAGAGUCCAGUAGGGGAGCGUGGAAUUCCUGGUGUAGCGGUGAAAUGCGCAGAGAUCGGGAGGAACACCCGUAGCGAAGGCGGCACUCUGGGCCGGUACUGACGCUGAGGAGCGAAAGCGUGGGGAGCAAACAGG